rnacentral:lncRNA from 1 species
UGUGCCCACCCUCUGUCCGAAGCCCAGGCUGUCCCCUCUGGGUCGCCCCCUCAAGCCCAACUGGGGACAUAGGGACUCCUGAAGGCAGGGUGGGGUCCCUCAAGGGCUAGCUGUCGUCUUGGGCUCCCCAGGCACCCCAAUUGCAGGCUGCUAGUGAGGAAGAGGGAAGGGCAGGCAGGGUCUUUUCUGGGAGACUCGGGGUUGAUCAGUGCGGGUUCUGGAACCUGAGGGGAGAAGAGGGCAGAGAAGCAGAAUAGUUUGUGCUCUUUUUUUUUUCUUUCCCUUUUUAAAUUCUUCCUCUACUGGGCAUCUGGACAAGGAGAACAGGAUUCAGUAGUUUGGAAGGGGAGUUUAGGAGAAGCAGCGACGGCUAGAGUAGGUAGGCGAGUAAGAGGAGGAGGAAGGGCUGGGGAGAAGAGCGAGGCUGUAGCGGCUGCCUGUUGAGGGAGG